GACGAACGCUGGCGGCGUGCCUAAUACAUGCAAGUCGAACGCUUCUUUUUCCACCGGAGCUUGCUCCACCGGAAAAAGAGGAGUGGCGAACGGGUGAGUAACACGUGGGUAACCUGCCCAUCAGAAGGGGAUAACACUUGGAAACAGGUGCUAAUACCGUAUAACAAUCGAAACCGCAUGGUUUUGAUUUGAAAGGCGCUUUCGGGUGUCGCUGAUGGAUGGACCCGCGGUGCAUUAGCUAGUUGGUGAGGUAACGGCUCACCAAGGCCACGAGGCAUGGCAGACCGGAGAGGGUGAUCGGCCACAUUGGGACUGAGACACGGCCCAAACUCCUACGGGAGGCAGCAGUAGGGAAUCUUCGGCAAUGGACGAAAGUCUGACCGAGCAACGCCGCGUGAGUGAAGAAGGUUUUCGGAUCGUAAAACUCUGUUGUUAGAGAAGAACAAGGAUGAGAGUAACUGUUCAUCCCUUGACGGUUUCUAACCAGAAAGCCACGGCUAACUACGUGCCAGCCGCCGCCGUAA
rnacentral:rRNA from 1 species